rnacentral:rRNA from 1 species
UACGUAGGGGGCAAGCGUUGUCCGGAUUUAUUGGGCGUAAAGAGCGUGUAGGCGGCCAGACAGGUCCGUUGUGAAAACUCGAGGCUCAACCUCGAGACGUCGGCGGAAACCAUCUGGCUAGAGUCCGGAAGAGGAGAGUGGAAGUUCCUGGUGUGAGCGGUGAAAUGACGCAGAGUAUCAGGAAGAACACCCGUGGCGAAGGCGGCUCUCUGGGACGGUACUGACGCUGAGACGCGAAAGCGUGGGGAGCGAACAGG